GACGAACGCUGGCGGCGUGCUUAACACAUGCAAGUCGAACGGAAAGGCCCUGCUUUUGUGGGGUGCUCGAGUGGCGAACGGGUGAGUAACACGUGAGUAACCUGCCCUUGACUUUGGGAUAACUUCAGGAAACUGGGGCUAAUACCGGAUAGGAGCUCCUGCUGCAUGGUGGGGGUUGGAAAGUUUCGGCGGUUGGGGAUGGACUCGCGGCUUAUCAGCUUGUUGGUGGGGUAGUGGCUUACCAAGGCUUUGACGGGUAGCCGGCCUGAGAGGGUGACCGGCCACAUUGGGACUGAGAUACGGCCCAGACUCCUACGGGAGGCAGCAGUGGGGAAUAUUGCACAAUGGGCGGAAGCCUGAUGCAGCAACGCCGCGUGCGGGAUGACGGCCUUCGGGUUGUAAACCGCUUUCGCCUGUGACGAAGCGUGAGUGACGGUAAUGGGUAAAGAAGCACCGGCUAACUACGUGCCAGCAGCCGCGGUGAUACGUAGGGUGCGAGCGUUGUCCGGAUUUAUUGGGCGUAAAGGGCUCGUAGGUGGUUGAUCGCGUCGGAAGUGUAAUCUUGGGGCUUAACCCUGAGCGUGCUUUCGAUACGGGUUGACUUGAGGAAGGUAGGGGAGAAUGGAAUUCCUGGUGGAGCGGUGGAAUGCGCAGAUAUCAGGAGGAACACCAGUGGCGAAGGCGGUUCUCUGGGCCUUUCCUGACGCUGAGGAGCGAAAGCGUGGGGAGCGAACAGGCUUAGAUACCCUGGUAGUCCACGCUGUAAACGGUGGGUACUAGGUGUGGGGUCCAUUCCACGGGUUCCGUGCCGUAGCUAACGCUUUAAGUACCCCGCCUGGGGAGUACGGCCGCAAGGCUAAAACUCAAAGGGAUUGACGGGGCCCCGCACAAGCGGCGGAGCAUGCGGAUUAAUUCGAUGCAACGCGUAGAACCUUACCUGGGUUUGACAUGGAUCGGGAGCGCUCAGAGAUGGGUGUGCCUCUUUUGGGGUCGGUUCACAGGUGGUGCAUGGCUGUCGUCAGCUCGUGUCGUGAGAUGUUGGGUUAAGUCCCGCAACGAGCGCAACCCUUGUUCACUGUUGCCAGCACGUUAUGGUGGGGACUCAGUGGAGACCGCCGGGGUCAACUCGGAGGAAGGUGGGGAUGACGUCAAGUCAUCAUGCCCCUUAUGUCCAGGGCUUCACGCAUGCUACAAUGGCUGGUACAGAGAGUGGCGAGCCUGUGAGGGUGAGCGAAUCUCGGAAAGCCGGUCUCAGUUCGGAUUGGGGUCUGCAACUCGACCUCAUGAAGUCGGAGUCGCUAGUAAUCGCAGAUCAGCAACGCUGCGGUGAAUACGUUCCCGGG
rnacentral:rRNA from 1 species